UCUUCAGACACUUUGUUAUGAGACUUGAAAUUGCGCUCAGGUGUAUCCUGUUUCCAUUGAUCAUCCUUGAUGUUUCUACAACUUGAUUGGAGUCCACCAGUGGUAAAUUAAAUUGAUUGGACAUGAUUUGGAAAGGCACACAACUGACUAUAAAAGGUCCCACGGUUGACACUGCAUGUCAGAGCAAAAACCAAGCCAUGAGGUCGAAGUAGAGCUCCGAGACAGGAUUCUGUCGAGGCACAGAUCUGGGGUACCAAAAAAUUUAUGCAGCAUUGAAAGUCCCCUUGAACAAAGUGCCCUCCAUCACUCUUUAAUGGAAUAAGUUUGGAACCACCAAGACUCUUCAUAGAGCUGGCCACCCGGACAAACUGAGCAAUUGGGGGAGAAGGGCCUUGGUCAGGGAGGUGACCAAGAACCCGAUGGUCACUCUGACAGAGCUCUAGAGUUCCUCUGUGGAGACGGGAGAACUUUCGAGAAGGACAACUAUCUCUGCAGCACUCCACCAAUCAGGUCUUUAUGGUAAAGUGGCCAGACGGAUGCCGCUCUUCAUUAAGAGGCACAUGACAGUCCGCUUGGAGUUUGUCAAAAGGCACCUAAAGACUCUCAGACCAUGAGAAACAAGAUUCUCUGGUCUGAUGAAACCAAGAUUGAACUCUUGGGCCUGAAUGCCAAGUCACACGUCUGGAGGAAACCUGGCAACAUCCCUAAGGUGAAACAUGGUGGUGGCUGCAUUGUGCUGUGAGGAUGUUUUUCAGUGGCAGGGACUGAGAGACUAGUCAGGAUCGAGGGAAAGAUGAACGGUGCAAAGUACAGAGAGAUCCUUGAUGAAAACCUGCUCCAGAGCGCUCAGGACCUCAGACUGGGGCGAAGGUUCACUUUCUAAAAGGACAACGACCCUAAGCACACAGUCAAGACAACGCAGGAGUGGCUUCGGGACAAGUCUUUGAUUGGCCCAGCUCUCUGGAGUGACCUGAAAAUAUCUGUGCAGCAACGCUCCCCAUCCAACCUGACAGAGUUUGAGAGGAUCUGCAGAGAAGAAUGGGAGAAACUCCCCAAAUACAGCUAGACAAGAUGAACACUAUGGGGUAUUUCCUGAUGAUGCUUAUAGAUUGGAAGACCAAGGCCAAAAAAGCCAAUCUAUAAAGCAGACUGGCAUGCCCCAAAGGAUCUCGUUUGGUCUCGGCGUCAUCUGACUUGGAGAGUUGUGGACAAAGCCUAUUAAUAUUUGGUUCUCAGUUUCUCAACAACAGCAGCCGAGAGAGAGGAACAAGAGAGCGGCAAAUGAGGUGGAAAACAGACACCUCGACGGAGUGGAUGGAGAGAGAAACAACAGACAAACAGCAUAGGGAGAGAGAGAGUCUGUCUGAAAGUGAUGACAUCUCUUUUCAUCCUUUUAAUCUUGUUGUUCAACAACCAGCUCUUCCUGUCCUCUUCCCCCUUCAGGGCAGCUAGCCUGGCCUCCUCUUCCUCAGUGUAGUUAUUCUGGCAUCUUCUUCCUCAGUGCAGCUAGCCUGGCCUCCUCUUCCCCCUUCAGGGCAGCUAGCCUGGCCUCCUCUUCCUCCCUCAGGGCAGCUAGCCUGGCCUCCUCUUCCUCCCUCAGGGCAGCUAGCCUGGCCUCCUCUUCCUCAGUGUAGUUAUUCUGGCAUCUUCUUCCUCAGUGCAGCUAGCCUGGCCUCCUCUUCCUCCCUCAGGGCAGCUAGCCUGGCCUCCUCUUCCUCCCUCAGUGUAGUUAUCCUGGCCUCCUCUUCCUCCCUCAGUGCAGCUAGCCUGGCCUCCUCUUCCUCCCUCAGUGUAGUUAUCCUGGCCUCCUCUUCCUCAGUGUAGUUAUCCUGGCAUCUUCUUCCUCAGUGUAGUUAUCCUUGCCUCCUCUUCCUCCCUCAGUGCAGCUAGCCUGGCCUCCUCUUCCUCAGUAUAGUUAUCCUGGCCUCCUCUUCCUCCCUCAGAGUAGUUAUCCUGGCCUCCUCUUCCUCCCUCAGGGCAGCUAGCCUGGCCCUCUCCUCUUCCUCCCUCAGUGCAGCUAGCCUGGCCUCCUCUUCCUCCCUCAGUGCAGCUAGCCUGGCCUCCUCUUCCUCCCUCAGGGAAGCUAGCCUGGCCUCCUCUUCCUCCCUCAGGGCAGCUGGCCUGGCCUCCUCUUCCUCCCUCAGGGCAGCUAGCCUGGCCUCCUCUUCCUCCCUCAGGGCAGCUAGCCUGGCCUCCUCUUCCUCCC
rnacentral:lncRNA from 1 species